AUGCAAGGACGGUUGGUCGGAGAUCACGGUGAUUGGAAGCUUUGUACGGUGAUGUUCGGUACGGCGGCUGUGAAGGAUGGUUAUUUCACCGGGAUUUCAAGGUUUUUGUAUAUGACCUUUUGGGCAAGUUUGGGACAACAAAGAUAUGGACAAUACAACAUGCUGUAUGCGGGUUUUUGGACUGACCUAUUUGGACUAAUAUGCAGGGUUGUUUCUGGUUUGGGGCAGCAGUAUGGUGGAGUUAGUUUAUGCAGAGCUUUGACUUGUUUAUGGAUAGUAUGCAGAGGAAAACAGAGCAGCAACUGCAGUAAUAACAGGUGUUUUGGACUGGUGUGA
rnacentral:lncRNA from 1 species